UUUUUUUUUUUUCCAUUUUUUGGGCCACCUGUGCCAUAUGGAGUUCCUGGCCAGGGAUCAGAUCCUACCUGCAGUUUUGACCCAAGCUGCAGCUGUGGCAGUGCCGGAUCCUUAACCCAUGGUGCCAGGCCAGGUAUCGAACCUGCAUCCCAGUGCUCCCAAGACACUGCUGAUCCCAUUGCGGCAGAGGGGGAUCUCCUGAACUUAUUCUUUGACUAAAUUUUUUCUACAGACAAAAGGCAGGUGGAGGACACCGGUGACGGGGGGAAGGACCAUAGGGUCCUGUGUCCAUUUUCCCAGGAAUGGAGAACUCGGGACAGUUCCUGCCUCUGAGAAUGGAAGUUCAGCAGGCAGUCAGCAGGGAGAUAGCUGUCUGUUGUCCUGGUUAAUGACCCAAGGGAAGUUCGCCUGCUGCUGGGCUGACCCAGGAAGCUGGGGAGUUGGGGCCUCUGUUUCCAAGGUCUGGAGUCUGGCUGUCUAACCAACACACCCCAAGGUUGAGGAGGAUCCAAGAAGGCACAGAGACCAGGGUUAGUUUUCCUCUUUUUUUUUUUUUUUUUUUUUUUUUGUCUUUUUUCCUUUUCUUGGGCCGCUCCCUCGUCAUAUGGAGGUUCCCAGGCUAGGGGUCUAAUCGGAGCUGCUGCUGCUACUGGCCUACACUACAGCAACAGCAACUUGGAAUCCGAGCCAUGUCUGCAACCUACACCACAGCUCACGGCAACGCCAGAUCCUUAACCCACUGAGCAAGGCCAGGGAUCGAACCUGCAACCUCAUGGUUCCUAGUCAGAUUUGUUAACCACUGCGCCACGAUGGGAAGUCCAGCUCACAGCUCUGGAAAAAUGCUCCUUGUUCUGAGGGUUUGGGAAGCAUGAGUCUAUUUUGAGACGCCUCUGCUGUGAGUCCGUACUAUCCGCCUGGCUCCUGAAGGCAGCGUGGGUGGGGGUGCUGUCUCCUUGCUCUGAGCCCUGUGUCCCCUCAGCUGGGCGCAUUGUGGGCCGGUUCUGACUCUGGCGAGAUGCUUUGGGGGUGUGGGGAGUGGAGAGCAGCUGGGACAGGGUUCUCCACUGCACGUUGGUUGGGGUGAUUGUGCCUGCUUCCCCUGGACCAGCUGUGGCCUCUGCGGGGAGGGAGAACCGGCCUGAAACUUGACCCCUGCCCAAGAGGUACAACCAGCAGAGUGAGUGAGCUUGGGGAGUGAGUUUUAGGGGCUGGGCAUCCCCCAAACCAGCAGGGUUUGAGAGGAGUCCUUGGAGAACCCGGAAAAUUACCCACGAGAGACAGAGUCAGAUCUGAGUGCCUGCUGCUCUGGAGAGUCCUGGUGGGGAGUAAGUUUGCCUGCCUGUAAGUAAGGGAAUGGUGGUAACACACAGUAGAAGCUGAUUUCUCUCUUAGAAGAGAAUCAGUUGGGAAGAAGGUAAUUCACGGAUGGGCUGGGAGCUCCACACAGAUGUGGGGAUCCUGCUUCCCAUGACUGUGUCCUCGUACUCAUGGUCAGAGGGGCUGCUGCAGCCCCAGCCAUCACAUCCUGGUUCAGGAAGACAGGGGAAGGGAAGGGCAGAGGCAGGUGUGCCCCCUCCCUUUUAAGAAUACUUUCAAGAUACAUCACCCGACAUUUCCACUUAUGUCUCAUUAGCCAGAGUUGAGUCACAGGGUCACACCCAGCUCCAGGCUCAGAGAUAUAAGCUUGUUGCUGGGAAGCCAUGGGCACAGUGUAAAAAAUGGGAUUCUUCUUAAAAAAUUGAAGUAUUGCUGAUUUACAACGUUGUGUUCAUUUCCUCUGUGCAGCAAAGUAAUCCAGUCAUACAUAUAUAUACACUGUUUUAAAAAUAUCCCUUUUCAUUAUGGUUUAUCAUAGGACAUCAAAUAUAGUUCCCUGUGCUAUACAGUAGGACCUUGUUUAUCCCCCCAGGGGAUACAUCUGCUAACCCCAGCCUCCCAGUCCAGCCCUCCCCUAAACCCCUCUCCCUUGGCAACCACAAGUCUGUUUCUGCAUGUCUGUGAGUCUAUUUCUGUUUCAUAGAUCGUUUCAUUUGAUUGUAUUUUAGAUUCCACAUGUAAGUGAUCUUGUAUGAGAUUUGUCUUUCUCUUUCUGACUUGCUUCACUUUGUAUGAGAAUCUCUAGGUCCAUCCAUGUUGCUGCAAAUGCCAUUAUUUCAUUCUUUUUUAUGACUGCGUAGUAUUCCAUUGGGUAUAUGUACUACAUCUUCUUAAUCCAUUCCUUUGUUGAUGGACAUUUAGGUUGUUUCCAUGCCUUGGCUACUGUGAAUAGUGCUGCUAUGAACACAGGGGCACAUGUAUCUUUUUCAGUGAAAGUUUUGUCCAGGUAGAUGCCCAGGAGUGGGAUUGCUGGAUCAUAUGGUAGUUCUAUUUUUAGUUUUCUGAGGAACCUCCAUACUUGUUUUCCAUAGCGGCUGUACUAACUUACAUUCAAAAUUGGGAUUCUUUUUUGUCAAGAGGAAGGGACUAAUGGGUACUGGGAGGCAGCCAGCAGCCUGUGGCACUUCUUUUUCGUGGCACUAGCAGCAAGUGGCUUUUCUCCAAAAGAGAGGAGGGUAACCGUGGCUAGCAAGUGGGGGUGGGGUCGGGUGGAAAGCAGAGGCCAACGCCUCUUACUUUUUUGGGCCUUACUUAAAAGAUCAGUGAUGGACUGACUGACAUUUUAUUUUCUAACUCAAAAUUGUAUUUUGUGAUUUAAAGUAUCUUUAGGACUUUCUCUUACCCACAAGUGGCCAGAGAAUUAUGGGACCUACCAGAGUUUCCCUAGGGAACAGGGAGGAAAGCAUUCCACCUGAAUAUUUUAUAUAUUUCACCUGAAUAACAUCUUUGUUAUAUGUAACCACCAUGCCUUUUCAUACCUAAAAAAAUUAGUUAAUAAUCAUCCUUUAAAAAUCACCUAAUACCCAGGCCAUGUUUAAAUUUUCCUAUUUUGUAACUAAGCAGGGUGUUGGGUAUUAACUGGCCUCACUGUGGCGUUUUUGCAGUUUAUACAAAUAUUGGAUCUUUAUGUUGUACAUCUGACAGGAAUUAUGUUAGUGAUGCCUCAGUUAAAAAAAAGAACGCAAAUGAGAUCCUGCUGGAUCGCACAGGGAACUAUAAUAUAUCCAAUCACUUAGGGUAGAACACGAUGGAAGAUAACAUGAGAAAAAGAAUGUAUAUAUAUAUGCAUGACUGGGUCACUUUGCUGUACCCAGAAAUUGACAGAACAUUGUAAAUCAACUAUAUU
rnacentral:lncRNA from 1 species